rnacentral:tRNA from 1 species
GCCCCCAUGGUGUAACGGUUAGCACACGAGAUUUUCAUUCUCGCAGCCGGGGUUCGACUCCCCGUGGGGGUA